GUAGGAAUUUGCCCAGUAGCGGGGGACAACAUGUGGAAACGCAUGCUAAUACCGCAUACGCCCUUUGGAUCAAAGUGGGGGAUCUUCGGACCUCACGCUAUCAGAGGAGCCUGCGUUGGAUUAGCUUGUUGGUGAGGUAAAGGCUCACCAAGGCUACGAUCUAUAGCUGGUCUGAGAGGACGAUCAGCCACACUGGAACUGAGACACGGUCCAGACUCCUACGGGAGGCAGCAGUGGGGAAUCUUGGGCAAUGGGCGCAAGCCUGACCCAGCCAUGCCGCGUGUGUGAAGAAGGCCUUCGGGUUGUAAAGCACUUUCAGUAGCGAAGAAAAGCUUAGGGCUAAUACCCCUGAGUCUUGACGUUAACUACAGAAGAAGCACCGGCUAACUCCGUGCCAGCAGCCGCGGUAAUACGGAGGGUGCGAACGUUAAUCGGAAUUACUGGGCGUAAAGCGCGCGUAGGCGGUUCGACAAGUGGGAUGUGAAAGCCCAGGGCUUAACCUUGGAACUGCAUUCCAAACUGUCGGACUAGAGUAUGGUAGAGGGAGGUAGAAUUUCCUGUGUAGCGGUGAAAUGCGUAGAUAUAGGAAGGAAUACCGGUGGCGAAGGCGGCCUCCUGGACCAAUUACUGACGCUGAAGUGCGAAAGCGUGGGGAGCAAACAGGAUUAGAUACCCUGGUAGUCCACGCCGUAAACGAUGAGAACUAGCCGUUGGGACCCUUGAGGUUUUAGUGGCGAAGCUAACGCGAUAAGUUCUCCGCCUGGGGAGUACGGCCGCAAGGCUAAAACUCAAAUGAAUUGACGGGGGCCCGCACAAGCGGUGGAGCAUGUUGUUUAAUUCGAUGCAACGCGAAGAACCUUACCACCCCUUGACAUCCUCAGAAUUUGUCAGAGAUGACUUAGUGCCUUCGGGAACUGAGUGACAGGUGCUGCAUGGCUGUCGUCAGCUCGUGUCGUGAGAUGUUGGGUUAAGUCCCGUAACGAGCGCAACCCUUGUCUUCAGUUGCCAUCGGGUCAAGCCGAGCACUCUGAAGAGACUGCCCAGGAUAACGGGGAGGAAGGUGGGGAUGACGUCAAGUCAGCAUGGCCUUUAUGCCUGGGGCUACACACGUGCUACAAUGACCGGUACAAAGGGUUGCAAUCCCGUAAGGGGGAGCCAAUCCCAAAAAACCGGCCUCAGUUCAGAUUGAGGUCUGCAACUCGACCUCGUGA
rnacentral:rRNA from 1 species